rnacentral:sRNA from 1 species
AGAAGCCCACGGAGCAGCGCCCGGCGCGCCACGGCCCGUAGCAAUCCGGUGCUGCCCUCCGCCCGCGUCCAGCUCGUGGCCCCCUACUUCGGGCACCAUGGACACCUCCCGGCUCGGUGUGCUGCUGUCCUUGCCUGUGCUGCUGCAGCUGGCGGCCGGGGGCAGCUCGCCCAGGUCUGGUGCGUUGCUGCGGGGCUGCCCCACACACUGUCAUUGCGAGCCCGACGGCAGGAUGUUGCUCAGGGUGGACUGCUCCGACCUGGGGCUCUCGGAGCUGCCUUCCAACCUCAGCGUCUUCACCUCCUACCUAGACCUCAGUAUGAACAACAUCAGUCAGCUGCUCCCAAAUCCCCUGCCCAGUCUCCGCUUCCUGGAGGAGUUACGUCUUGCGGGAAACGCUCUGACAUACAUUCCCAAGGGAGCAUUCACUGGCCUUUACAGUCUUAAAGUUCUUAUGCUGCAGAAUAAUCAGCUAAGACAGGUACCCACAGAAGCUCUGCAGAAUUUGCGAAGCCUUCAAUCCCUGCGUCUGGAUGCUAACCACAUCAGCUAUGUGCCCCCAAGCUGUUUCAGUGGCCUGCAUUCCCUGAGGCACCUGUGGCUGGAUGACAAUGCGUUAACAGAAAUCCCCGUCCAGGCUUUUAGAAGUUUAUCGGCAUUGCAAGCCAUGACCUUGGCCCUGAACAAAAUACACCACAUACCAGACUAUGCCUUUGGAAACCUCUCCAGCUUGGUAGUUCUACAUCUCCAUAACAAUAGAAUCCACUCCCUGGGAAAGAAAUGCUUUGAUGGGCUCCACAGCCUAGAGACUUUAGAUUUAAAUUACAAUAACCUUGAUGAAUUCCCCACUGCAAUUAGGACACUCUCCAACCUUAAAGAACUAGGAUUUCAUAGCAACAAUAUCAGGUCGAUUCCUGAGAAAGCAUUUGUAGGCAACCCUUCUCUUAUUACAAUACAUUUCUAUGACAAUCCCAUCCAGUUUGUUGGGAGAUCUGCUUUUCAACAUUUACCUGAACUAAGAACAUUGACUCUGAAUGGUGCCUCACAAAUAACUGAAUUUCCUGAUUUAACUGGAACUGCAAACCUGGAGAGUCUGACUUUAACUGGAGCACAGAUCUCAUCUCUUCCUCAAACCGUCUGCAAUCAGUUACCUAAUCUCCAAGUGCUGUGCGUAUCAGUAAGGCAAUAAUGUUGUGUAAACAGGCAACUUCCAUUUAGGGGUGAAAUGGCAGACAUGAUUUCAAUAAUCUCUUUAAAAGAGGAGAAAGUUCUUUCCUUGCAGGUCUGCAGGAGGUCAGGCCUCCUUUGCCCUCUUUGGUCCAGGCUCUCUGACAUGAUCCUGGUAACAAAUGGCUUUGCAGAGCAGAACAAAAUAACAUAAUGGAUCAACCACCCAGUAUGGAUGCCAAAAUCAAAAACUGAGAUAUCAGAUCCACACAAUCCUUGAUAAAGAGAUCUGUCUUACAACCUAUUAGAAGAUUUACCCAGUUUUUCAGUCUGCCAAAAGCUUCAGAAAAUUGACCUAAGACAUAAUGAAAUCUACGAAAUUAAAGUUGACACUUUCCAGCAGUUGCUUAGCCUCCGAUCUCUGAAUUUGGCUUGGAACAAAAUUGCUAUUAUUCACCCCAAUGCAUUUUCCACUUUGCCAUCCCUAAUAAAGCUGGACCUAUCGUCCAACCUCCUGUCGUCUUUUCCUGUAACUGGGUUACAUGGUUUAACUCACUUAAAAUUAACAGGAAAUCAUGCCUUACAGAGCUUGAUAUCAUCUGAAAACUUUCCAGAACUCAAGGUUAUAGAAAUGCCUUAUGCUUACCAGUGCUGUGCAUUUGGAGUGUGUGAGAAUGCCUAUAAGAUUUCUAAUCAAUGGAAUAAAGGUGACAACAGCAGUGUGGACGACCUUCAUAAGAAAGAUGCUGGAAUGUUUCAGGUUCAAGAUGAACGUGAUCUUGAAGAUUUCCUGCUUGACUUUGAGGAAGACCUGAAAGCCCUUCAUUCAGUGCAGUGUUCACCUUCCCCAGGCCCCUUCAAACCCUGUGAACACCUGCUUGAUGGCUGGCUGAUCAGAAUUGGAGUGUGGACCAUAGCAGUUCUGGCACUUGCUUGUAAUGCUUUGGUGACUUCAACAGCUUUCAGAUCCUCUCUGUACAUUUCCCCCAUUAAACUGUUAAUUGGGGUCAUCGCAGCGGUGAACAUGCUCACGGGAGUCUCCAGUGCUGUGCUGGCUGGUGUGGAUGCAUUCACUUUUGGCAGCUUUGCACGACAUGGUGCCUGGUGGGAGAAUGGGGAGGAUCUGGUGAGCCUGGGAAAGCAAACCUACUUCUGGACAAGAUCAAAACACCCAAGCUUGAUGUCAAUUAACUCUGAUGAUGUCGAAAAACAGUCCUGUGACUCGACUCAAGCCUUGGUAACCUUUACCAGCUCCAGCAUCGCUUAUGACCUGCCUCCCAGUUCCAUGCCAUCACCAGCUUAUCCAGUAACUGAGAGCUGCCAUCUUUCCUCUGUGGCAUUUGUCCCAUGUCUCUAAUUAAUAUGUGAAGGAAAAUGUUUUCAAAGGUUGAGAACCUGAAAAUGUGAGAUUGAGUAUAUCAGAGCAGUAACUAAUAAGAAGAGCUGAGGUGAAACUCGGUUUAAAAACCAAAAAAGAAUCUCUCAGUGAGAAAAGGCUGAAAACCUACAGAUACUUGAGAAUGAAUAUAAGUCUAAAUGCUGCUUUGUAUAAUUUGUUCAGCUAAGGCAUAGAUCGAUCACACUAUUUAAGUGAGCCCAGAUCAAAAAAGCAGAUUGAAAUUUUCUUUAGAAAAGAUUCUCCAUGAUUUGAAUUGCAUUCUCUUUAAACUCACCAAUGUAAUCAUUUUGGGAGGAGGGAGAACCCACUUGCUUUCCAAAUGGGUUUAUUUAAACCCACAAACUCAAGAGGUUGUUGGGGGAAUUAGGAAAAUAAGGGUUUUCAAUGACCUACAUUGCUAGAUAGAGGCUGUGAUCCAUAGGAUUUCAUUCUAAUGACCAUGUGAAGAUGUUUGAGUCCUCCUUUGCCUUUCCUCAGAAAGGAUCCUUCUAAGGCACCAAUCCCUUAGAUGGAUAAUGUAAGGUAUUGUUAACUCACUCAUAUUGAGAUCACUUUUAGAGAUACCAGGUUUUACAUAUCAGCACUAGAUGGUUCCACCCUCAUGGGAUAAAACUACUUACAAGUAUUUUGAAAGGAAAAUUGACCAAAACUCUUAAAUUGUUACUAAAGCAAUCAUGCACAGGUGACGUAUGUCUUAUCUGAUUUGUUUUUAACUCCUUGGUGCCCAAAGCUCAGAAGGGAAUUCCACUGCCAGCAAUGAACAUACCUGGAAAAGAUAGUAAGCAAUCUGGGAUUUUUUUUUUCUGGGUUAGUAAACAAUUUUUGCAAUAAGUUUUAUCAGUUGAUUCAAACUGAUGUGCAUCUUAAUGAUCAAAUGUGCACAUGACGUAAAUUAAGUCCACUGAUACAACUUCUUACACGUGUAUCUCUAGUAGCUCUGGCAAACCCAAUAUCUGACACCACUUCGGACUCAAGAGACUCAGUAACAUAUUAUCCUGUUUAUUUAGCUUGGUUUUAGCUGUGUUCUCUCUGGAUAACCCACCUGAUGUUAGGAACAUUACUUCUGCGCUUAUUCCAUAUUAAUACUGUGUUAGGUAUUUUAAGAAGCAAGUUAUUAAAUAAGAAAAGUCAAAGUAUUAAUUCUUACCUUCUAUUAUCCUAUAUUAGCUUCAAUACAUCCAAACCAAAUGGCUGUUAGGUAGAUUUAUUUUUAUAUAAGCAUGUUUAUUUUGAUCAGAUGUUUUAACUUGGAUUUGAAAAAAUACACUUAUGAGCUAUUUUAUAAGAUGUGUAAAUAUAGAACUGUAUUUAUUACUAUAGUAAAGGUUCAGUAACAUUAAGGACCACGAUAAUGAUAAUAAACCUUGUACAGUGGCACACUCUUCGAUUUAUAUUGUGUUUCUCUGCCCAUUUUCCUUAAAUUCAUUAACUGUAUAUAUGUAAAUAUAUAGUACUUGUAAAUAGAUUCCAAAUUUGCUUUUCUAUUGGGUAAAAAAUAAAUUUGUAAUAAAAUGUGUGACUAUAAAAC